UGCACUUGGCGGGUGCGCGCGCUCCAAUUGCUUUGCUUGGGCAAUUGCUACUGUGUACACCACGAAUACGCUCGCAUAAACAGUCCCACUCACGCGCGUGUGAGACAACCUUCACGUUGCUUGAGGGUCGAGAAAGUGUGAAUCGAAUCCACACACGGGUAAGCGACCAUCAUUUUCUGCCUAAUGCAGCUCGAUGACUGGUGCACGUAUCGCGAGACACUGCUCUACGCACGAGAGCUAGCCGUGCUUCUCCCGUCGUCGUGGAGUGGAUUGCCGAGUGAGCAGUCGGCGACAAAGGCGUCCUCGUCGCUGUCACAUUCUAGUUCGUUGCCGUCUCUUGCGUUCGUGAAGCGAGUGGAAGCGCCUUUGCUGACGCAAUGGAUGACGGCGGCGGCAGCGGCACCCGUCACUUGCCAUUGUAGCAGUGCAGGUGACGGUGACGAAGACAUGGAUCAUGCCACUGCCGUCGUAGCGGCGCGUUGGACGAGGAUGCUGGGCAUAUGGAUCGUCUUGCGAGUAGAGCUCCUGUGCAACACAAGUGGGGGAGUGCUGACUCUCGAGGAAGAGUACGAAGUAGGACGCUACAGGCAGUAUUUCAUGCCCCUUGCGUGGCCGGUGCUGGAUCAAAGCAUUCGAGAACGGCUCGCUUCGCAUUUGUGCACAUUGGCAGAGAAACGGGGGGCGAGCCAGUCAAUGGGCGGCACCAGCUGCGCCAGUGACAUGGCUGCCUCUUCCUCCUGCGGCACCCUUCUCAGGAAGGAUGAGGAAGACGAACAGGCGUGUGAUGAGGUGUGCACGCGAGCUAUGGAGGCUACCCAGCGUGUGGCGCGCGAGCAGCUCCGCAUCAGCUGGGACGCGUUGCACCCCAGCAGUAUUCCUGCUACGGUAGGCACCAAGCUGAAACGGCUUUCCGUGCAGCAGAGUCGACACCAUGAAUCUGAAACUGGCUCUUCACCGCGACCAGUCGUAGUGCACACCAACUGUCUUGGUGGCCUCCUACACGCUCUGAUACGUUUUCGGCUUCGGCCGCAACGGCGACAUUCAGACCACGGCUCGGCGCCGUGGCUGAACUUAACGCAGAAUGCACUCCUUCACAUUGGCUACGACCUGCUAACCAAAGUGAGGUCGUCCGUGAUCGAGCGCUGCUACUACCUUAUCCCCGCCCUGCUCGACUAUGAGUCGUGCUUACUCUUUUGCGAGGCGACACUGAAGGAGAGCGCAGCAUUGCAGGCGCAUGAGAGGGAACUAACGAGGACGCAGAGCAUCUUGCGGCUCACUCUGCAGAGUUUACUGCAGUCUGCCCUCGGCAUGUAUAGGCGUGUCAUUGAUGCCUUGUUGGUCGACUACAAGAAGAGCGCUUGCAGGUCGUCUGCAGGUUCUACUCCACGACUUGUGAAGGUGACGGCACCUCUGUCGCCGGCGAACCCGCUUGUCGCUCGAGAAGCCGCACAAAAGCAGUACGCACCCGAUGCCGUCGUUCCGUUGGAACCACCAACCCACCCGGGCGCUGCUGAUGGACUCAGUGCAUCAACGGUGAUGCGGCUCUCUGAACCCGCUUUUUCUAUCCUGGUGGAAGUGCUGGAGCCGACUUGUGAUCUACUGCAACGCUACCCCGCGGACUGGAAUGUCCUCUCGACCAGGUCGCUCACAGGCCCCGAUGGGCGCGACCAGUGUGUGACUCCUGGUGGCCACACAGCAAGGGAAAGGGGACUGCUCUCGCCUUCAUCCCGCAGGCAGCACCAGGUGAGCCAGCAGCCACAGCGCUCUACUGCCAUGGAUGUGCGAAGAGAGGUAGUGUCUUUUCUUGACUCAGAGGUGCCCAACUGCUUUGCCGCUGCUGCGGCAGGGUCUGGAGCGGCCUCCAAGAAGGCGCAGCAGCAGGCAGCCGCAGAUGCAUACCUUACGGCUACAUACCUCUCCACGUAUGGGCCACACUGGCUAUAAGCGGAGGCAGAGAAGCACGCGAUCCUCUGCACCCGUUUGAGGCAAGCCGGCCCUCUCCUCGUUGCUAUCAAGCUGCUUCAUACGUAUGCGCUGAAUACGGGACAUACAAGAAAGAAAUAAAACCUCUUCACAGCUCCCCUCCUCCCCCUCACACACACACGAAAAAAAAAAAACAGCGUUGAUACACGUUAGAGGGGGUGAAAUGGCUCUCUGUUACGCUUUUUCUUGAGUGUGUGUCUCUUGAUCGGCAGCCAACAUGCGAAGUGGUCUCCCCUCUCACUUUUAAGCUUUC
rnacentral:misc_RNA from 1 species